CAUUAAAAUCCCCAAUUGAAUGUAAGACCAGUUACAAAUCCCCUCAACUACAGAGCAAGCAAAUCCAUCAAAGUAAGGGAGAGAUUUCAUCAAUGGAAUCCACGCCCUCUAUCUCUUCCAUCAAUUAAACCUGAUCUGCAAUCAAUUCCACAAUUCGUCUUUUCUAUCCGAUUCCUUCGAUUUGUCAUUUCAAUUUGUCCCGAAAAAUAAAGCGUUGGGAUUUGAUGAGAAUGCCCACAUUACAUCUUCUUCUCCGUUUUCGAAUUGGCCCUAUAUCUUCUCCAGAUGUUCUUCCUUGGCAUCCACGAUUCAAGAAUCUCUCUCAGAAGAUAUUGGUCAAUGUAAUUCAAAGUAGUAGGGGAUUAAAGGAGUACUGACAAAGUUGCCUACAUCACAUCGAGCUAAGUUGCAAGGAAGGUUUUUUGCUUUGGGUGCAGAUGCUGGGCCUGAGACUAUCAUGGAUAAUGUGAUGGGUCGUAUGAUAUGACGAUCCAAUGUGACAAGAAUCCAAGCCGUUCAAAUGUCUACUUUGAUGCUUGCAGCAAUACAGUCGCUUUCUUGACAAACUGUGAGUUCAAAUCUUCCCUAUAACCGUUGUUAACUAAGAGGAGACGUAUAAAUAUAACACAAAGCUUGCUUGGUCGGAUGGUAAGUUGCAUUGCCUGAUUUCUAUAUGAGGCAAGUUCAAAUUCAACCUUCAGCUACUCAUUUUUUUCUUUUCUUAAAUUACUUAACAUCUUUGAACUUCAAGCUUUUGAAAAUGACUAAAACAAUCCCUAAAGUUUUAUAAAAAUUGUAGUUUAACCUGUUCAUAUAUUUCCAGUUAUCCUAAAUUGGCCUUAUUUAUGGCGCUAUUAUUUGAUCAGAUUAUAUAUUGAUGGUAAAUAAAUUAUACAAAUUGAAAUUACGUUGUAAUCAAUAUCCUAACUGAUAUAGUUUUUUAUUUACCAACCUUUUACACAAAAUGCAAGUCACGAAAAUAUACAUAAGAGGGCUCACAUCCAAACUAAUUCUUACUACAUGUAUGCCUCGCUUGGAUCACAAAUGGGAUGCUCAAUCAACCACAUGAACUCCAACUUAGACACACUGUGCUCAUUUGACUAAACAUUCCCGGUGUGAUUAUUUUGGUAGCAUCAGCCUGUUCGUACCAUUAAAGAAAAGAUAUGGUUGAUCUAUUUUGCUUAACACAUUACUUACUUAAGGCAUCUUUGAUUAUCUGGUAUCAAAGAGACACGUGCACUAACGAAUAAAAUAAUGUUAAGUGUUACCAAACACUUGUGCUAAUCAUAUUUUUCACACCUAAUUCAUUUUGAAGGGUUUUGAUGGAGAAGUAGCUCAUGAGCAAAGACCUGAAUAUAAUUGCACGGGCGAGAUGUGGGCGUUUGAACUAGAAAAACUCUUGCUGGUUAUACAACAUGAAUUCUUACGACGUAUGGAAAAUGGAAUUUCAGCCCCAAGGCUGUUGAAGUUGAAUCCUCUUGGGCUCAAGUGUUUAAUAAGUUCCGUGGCGACCAAUUCUUGUGGGUCACUGAAGAUGGGAAGCAAGAGCACCUGGUUGCCACAUUGGGCAAAUUCAAUGUGAUAUGGAACUUCCUGUAAAUUGCUCAUACAAAAUAUUCUGUAGGAAUAAUAUGGUUGACUAAUAGGCCCCCUCAGUCGUAGCGGAAGUAUGACGAACGCACAGACUGGUCUUGAAUCUGUUGAAUAGUUGUUUAGGGACACCCUUUGUGAAAAUGUCGGCGUACUGGUAAUCGGCCGGAACAUGUAAAACUCUAAUAUCGCCCAUACGAACCUUGUCACGAACAAAAUGAAUGUCAAUCUCUACAUGUUUGGUUCGUUGAUGUUGAACCGGAUUACCUGACAAGUAUACGGCUGAUACGUUGUCACAAAAAAUGAUGGUGGCUUCGCGUGUAGGUAUGUGUAAUUCCAGAAGAAGGUUACGAAGCCAGCUAGUUUCGGCUGCCGUGUUUGCGACACCUCUGUAUUCAGCUUCAGCGCUUGAGCGGGAGACAGUGUGUUGUCGUUUUGACGACCAAGAGACCAGAUUAUCUCCCAUAAAGACACAAAACCAAGAAGUGGAACGUCUCGAGUCUGGGCAACCCCCCCAAUCAGCAUCAGAAUAUGCAGUUAGUUUCAAAGACUUUGAUGGUUUUAUGUGAAGGGCAUGAUCUGCAGUGCCUUUUAGAUAUCUUAGGAUCCGCUUUAAAUAUUGAAAAUGUGGUUCGCGCGGCGCAUGCAUGAAUAAACACACCUGUUGGACUACAUAAGAAAUGUCGGGCCGGGUAAAGGUUAAGUAUUGUAAGGCGCCGGCCAGGCUCCUGUAAAGUGUACCGUCGGACAAUGGAGUACCGGCAUGCGCACUUAGUUUGGAGUCAGUGUCACAUGGGGUGUUGCAUGGCUUGCAUGUUGACAUGUUGGCGCGUUCAAGGAUAUCCCGAACAUAGGAUCCUUGCGAAAGAAGUAAGCCAUCUCGGUUCCGUGUUACCUGUAUACCCAAGAAAUGAUGAAGAUUCCCCAAAUCUGACAUGGCAAAUUCUGCUGAUAAAGAAUUAAUGAUAUCACGAAGCAAGCGGUCAUCAGAAGCAGUUAGUAUGAUAUCGUCAACGUAUAGUAAUAAAUAUGCCAUACGAGAUCCGUUUUGGUAGACAAAAAGAGAGGUGUCACACGUCGUACUUCGAAAACCACAGUUUGUAAUGAAAGUGGCAAACCUGUGAUACCAAGCGCGCGGAGCUUGUUUAAGGCCAUAUAGAGACUUACGUAACCGGCAAACAAAGGACGGAUGUUGUUUGUCCACAAAUCCAGGUGGCUAAAACAUGUAAACCGUUUCGUUCAGAUCACCAUGUAGGAAGGCGUUUUUGACAUCGAGUUGGUGUAUUGGCCAUGCACGAGAAACGGCAAUGCUGAGUACGGUCUGAAUUGUAGUAGGUUUGACGAGCGGACUGAAGGUAUCAAAACAAUCAACGCCAACCUGUUGAGAUUUACCAUUAACAACAAGGCGAGCUUUGUACCUUUGCAACGUACCAUUUGCGUGAAACUUGUGGCGAUAUAGCCACAUGCAACGAAUGAUGUGUGCGUUAUUCGGUCGUGGGACUAACUCCCACGUGUUAUUUUCCAUUAAGGCUCUAUAUUCGUCAUUCAUAGCCUCUUGCCAAUUUGGAUCGGUUAGAGCGGUAAGGUGUGAUUUAGGAAGUGGAGAAAUCGAUGGCGGUGUGGAGGUGUGUAGGUUAACAGGGUGUUUUGGUUUGGUAAUUCCGGCUUUGAGGCGGGUUGUCAUGU